ensembl:lncRNA
GCACAAUACACAACAUGUAGUGUAUUGUAGUAUGUAUGUAUACAUACUGUGACAAAACAAGACAAUUCUCCCUCCAACCUUACAAAGUUGGGUAUAAAAGACAAAACUGUUUUGUAGCAGCACAAGCUUGAUUUUUAAACUACAUCUGAAACCACCUAAGUUGUGUAUCCGCUUAAAGGGCUGCCGGUUCAAAUGUUAUAUUGCCUAGUGGAAACUUUGUCAUGGUAGCACUAAAAGGAAAAAUAUUAUAUGCUAAUAUAUAUAUUAUGUAUAUGCUAGAAUUGUGCCGUUUUCCAAAGAUAAGGCUUUGUUUUCCAAGACCUUUUCAUUUCUAGUGUCAAUAUUAAAUUGGCAUUUCCUUGUAGUUCUUUCUUGCAGUUAACAUUACUGUGGAAAAAGAGGGACACAGAAAUGGUUGUUGCACUACUCCCUUCACAGAUUAAGGGGCGCAGCAUCCUUAUCCACCAUAGUGAGCUAUGCUCACUUCGACCAUACCAGUGGUUGACAGGGGAGGUUAUUGAGGGCCUGUUUCAUGUUGCUGCCCACACAUUCAAUGUGGUGGACACCGUCUACAUUAUGAAUCACUACUCAGCAGGUGGGAUUUUGUUCAGUGACAGAACUGAACUACCUCGUCACAGUUUACCAAAGGUAAACUUUGACAACUAUGAAGCUGUUCUGUCAUUUGUGCUAGUCAACGGCAACCACUGGAACUUACUGUACAUUAAUGCAGAAACCAGCACAGUAUUUCUGAUGGAUCCAGCACGAUUGUCAUCAGAGCUUGAGGACUCUGAACAUGCUGCUAAAAGAAUACAGGAAUACUUAAGGAUGCGGAGGACACGCCAUGGCAAAGAAGACUGGUUGGAUAUUAGGUGGAAAGGGGGAGUUAUGAGCCACCCAGUUCAACAGGAUGGAAGUAGCUGCGGUGUCAUUGUUGUCAAGAUGGCAAAAGCAGUGAUGGAGGCAUUUCCUCAGAUCCCAGAUGUUAAAUUUGAGACAUCCAAAAAGGCCAUGAAAAAGGAGAGGAGAGAUCUGGCUCUCGAAAUCCUAAAGGCAUCAGUCUUUGAUGAGCACACUUGUUGCGCAAUGUGUGCAGCCGUGAAGCCUCCGGGAUCUGGACCUCCCAUUACAGACUGGGUGAGUUGUUGUGAAGCAGCAGUUCCAAUGUAGAAUUGUGAUGUAGACUCUGACGCCGCCGCUAUUGG